UACGUAGGGGGCGAGCGUUGUCCGGAAUCAUUGGGCGUAAAGCGCGUGUAGGCGGCCCGGUAAGUCCGCUGUGAAAGUCCAGGGCUCAACCCUGGGAUGCCGGUGGAUACUGUCGGGCUCGAGUCCGGAAGAGGCGAGUGGAAUUCCUGGUGUAGCGGUGAAAUGCGCAGAUAUCGGGAGGAACACCUGUGGCGAAGGCGGCCACCUGGUUGGAUACUGACGCUGAGACGCGAAAGCGUGGGGAGCAAACAGG
rnacentral:rRNA from 1 species